AAUGUAUUUUUUAAAUCGUCAAUUAUCUCUCUAUUGAUAUAUUUACCACAUGUUCUUUUGUGUUUAUGUACAAUUACUUACUUGUUCAUGUACUGUGCAUAAUUCAUCUACGAAAAUCCGGAAAAAAGUCCAGUAGAAAAUCCAGAAAUUCAUACAGAAGAAUACAGAAAUUCAUACAGAAAAAUCCGUACAAAAGCCAGAGAUUUAUAAAGAAAAAUGUAAAAAAUCAUAUUUACACGAAUCGUCACCCAAUUAUACACACCACACUAACAACUGUACAAUUGUACACCGUACAUAAUUGUUUUCGGGAGGUUAAAUUUAUCAUUAUCGUCCGUCAAAACAAGUGAAGUUAGAUAAGAGACCCAGAAAAGGAGAGAGGAGGGAAGGAAGAAGAAGAAGAAAAAAAAAGAUGAGGACCGAUGUCACCCCAAUGUGUCUUAAACCAGGUCGCAUCUAUAUGUGUACACUUGUUCUGUUUCUUAAAUGUAAAUAGUUCUAAGUAUUUACUGCAUGCAUAUAAAUAUAUUUCUUAACUUCAAAGAAUUGUUGGGUUGACUAUAAAAGGGAGUACUCUCGCUUCUCCCCUCGGAAUCUGCCGUACAAUAAAUUGUAAACAAUAAAAACAAUAGUGGAGGUACUUACAUAAUUGUAUGCCUUGUUUCUCCACAGCAUACAAAUUUCUAAUUUAAAACGUGAAAGGAAAAUAUUGACAAAUUUAUCUAUAUCUAUACGUAACUUCUGGAACAAAUCCAACCAACUAGAGUGAAGAUUGUUCGCUUGCCCUAUAUCUAAUAUAGUCUAAACAAGUGUACAAAUUCGUUUUUACCUCUCCAACAUUCUUUACAAUUUCCCUCCACACUUACGGAUAUUAAGUAAUUUCUAAGUCGUCUGUAAGUCUGUCAAGCUGGAAUCGAAGACAGAAAACUCAUCUCUACAUCCUCAAUUCAUCGAGGAACAGAAUGUAACCGUAUAUUAUGAGGAAUAUAUGGCUAUAUUUAACGAAACGAGGAAAAACUUCACAACAGGAAAGCAACAUUUAUCAAUCCCUCCAGAAGAUAUCCUGAUAAUGGCAUCAGUUCUAACGGUAUGGAUCAUCGUCAUCUUCAUCUUCUUCAACAAAUGGGGUAAAAUACGAAUGUUAGAACCCAACAUCCCAAUAUACAGUUGCAAAUUAAAUCCCCCCAUAAACAAAUCGAAUCCCUCGAAUCAUAAUCUUCCAUUAUUUUUAGACCAAUCGAAAAGUCGCUUAUUAUUCUGCGAAUUAUCCAGAGAUUAUAAAUUAAAUUCUAGAAUGUCACGUAGUACUGGUGACAUGAUGUCUGUCGCUAUCGCUGUACCCCAUACAUUUAAUAUAAAACAGACAUUGUCAUCAUCACCAUCAUCGGCAUCUUCAUAGAAUGAUGAAUUUAAGGAAAAGAAUAAAUAUUUUAUAAUUAUUUUCUCCUCUUUAGAAUGUAAAUAAACAUCUCUAAUUGUGUAUUACAGUAUUUAUUACUUAAAAAGUAAACAGUAUUAUUAUUAUUAUU